AAUUUUGGACAAUGGGGGGAACCCUGAUCCAGCCACUCCGCGUCUGCGAUGAAGGCCUUCGGGUUGUAAAUCACUUUUGGCAGUAACGAAAUCGCACGGGCCAAACGCAUGUGUGGAUGCCGGUUCCGUCAGCAGAACCACCGGCUAACUACGUGCCAGCCGCGGCGGUAAUACGUAGGGUGCAAGCGUUAAUCGGAAUGACUGGGCUUAAACCGUGCGCAGGCGGUUCGGAAAGAAUGAUGUGAAAUCCCAGAGCUUAACUUUGGAACUGCAUUUUUAACUACCGUGCUAGAGUGUGUCAGAGGGAGGUGGAAUUCCGCGUGUAGCAGUGAAAUGCGUAGAUAUGCGGAGGAACACCGAUGGCGAAGGCAGCCUCCUGGGAUAACACUGACGCUCAUGCACGAAAGCGUGGGGAGCAAACA
rnacentral:rRNA from 1 species